GGUGGUCAGAGUAAUCGAGAAUUGGAAAUGGUGAAUCGACGCUUCACUCAGGUGGCCACCAGCGACGAUGAGGACGAAGCACCGCCUCAGCCGCGCACGCGAAAGAGGAUGAAGCUUCUCGAAGAAGAUAACGACAACGACAACGAUAACGGUGACGAGACGAGGAAGGAAGGAGCGAAACCGGAACCGCCUCAGGUUCCAGAUGACGCUAAACCCAUUGGCGAUCCCGUUAGGGUUUCGGGAAAAGGAAGAGGCAGAAAGAAGCACUUCGAAUUCUUCGAGUUCGAUGGCAAUCAAUAUACUCUCGAGGACCCUGUUCUUCUCGUUCCUGAGGAUACAUGUCAAAAGCCAUAUGUCGCAAUUAUUAAGGAUAUUACGCAGUCGAAUAACAGCAGCUUAAUGUUGACGGGGCAGUGGUUCUAUCGCCCUGAAGAAGCUGAGAAAAAAGGUGGUGGAAACUGGCAAUCGCGUGAUACGAGGGAACUGUUUUAUAGUUUCCACCGUGAUGAGAUUCCUGCUGAGUCUAUUAUGCACAAGUGUGUGGUGCAUUUUGUUCCCAUACACAAACAGCUUCCAGAUCGUAAGCAGCAUCCUGGGUUUAUAGUACAGAAGGUGUAUGACACUGUGGAAAGAAAGCUCUGGAGGCUAACCGAUAAGGACUAUGAGGAUAUUAAGCAGCGAGAAAUUGAUGAGCUUGUUCAGAAGACUCUGCAACGUAUGGGUGAGCUACUUGACAUUGAGCCUGAAGAAGCCCCUGCUGAUGAGGAGGACCAAACGAAAAAUAAAAAGGGCUUGAGGAGAAAGAGCGUUUCACCCCUUGAUGUUUCUAGGGAGGAGGAAGAAACUCCUAGGAUAGAACAACAUCCAAAGCCUGAAACACCAGGGAGCUGUGGAAAUAAUACCUCAGAGCAUUAUCGUAUAUUGGUAGAUUUCAAUGCACUAACUGGAGAUAACCAUCGUGACAGAUGGUUGGAGAGGUUGCUUCAACACAUUAAGUACAUGUGUAGUUCUAAUGAUAGCAUAGGAAGAGGCAAAGGAUUAGAAAAUGGCAAUUCUGAUGAAAUCAACUAUGAAAGCAAGAAUGGUAGUUCAGAAUCAGUAAAUGACUGUCAAGACAAGGGUCAGAAGAGUUCCAAGUCUUUUAUCUGGCCAGAUGCUGCUGUUUCAGCUGUAGUUGCUCUGGAAAAAGCUUCGCAUGAUUCUCUCUCAUCAGAUUCAACGAAGUACAACCAAAAGUUGCGACAAUUAGAUUUUAAUCUCAAGAAAAAUGCAGUGUUAGCACGCCGUCUAUUAAAUGGAGAGUUGGAACCUUCGAAAAUAUUAAAUAUGACACCGAAUGAAUUAAGGGAGGGUUUGACUGCUGAGGAAAAAACCAAGGAGGAACCUGCUGAGUCUCAGCACAUGCAAAUGACAGAUGCCCGCUGCUCAAAAUGCAUGGAUUGUAAGGUGGGCUUGAGGGAGAUUAUCCAAGCUGGAAAUAGCGACCGUUAUCAGCUGGAAUGUGUUGCUUGUGGUCACUCCUGGUAUGCCUCCCGGGAUGAGGUGUCUAUGCCGACAAUAGAUGGAUCAGAUUCAAAGAGAAAAACAUAGGCACAGCGCCUUAAGCCACUGCAAAAUUUGAUGUUCAGAAGAUGCUAGUGAACCCCUUGUAUCUGAAAAUGCAGCCAAUUACAUCUAUAAGAAAAUUAGUUAAUCUUAUAUCCCUGUUUUGGACUCCCAGAAAUCAUUUGACGAGUCUGGGAAUGAUGACGAGACAUGCUGAUUAGGUGGAAUGUUCCAUCUAUCUAUCCUGUCCCGUGUAGCGUUUAGUCGUAGCGAAAGUUUAUGUAUGGAUUCUUCUCCUGUUCGAUCAUGCGCAUACAAAAAGCGUUUUGCAGGGCUCUAGUUUGUGGAUGGGACAAGAAUUGAAGUUGGAUCGAGAUAACAAGUCUUCAGUGGGUCUCAGUCCCGAUACUGUUCUUCCAUCUCAUCAAUAUUGUUUGAAUGUGAAGAAGAGAUAUAAAAAUGGGAAACCCACUGGGAAAGAUGGUUUUUUGAAACUCAGAGAGUUUUGCUGAUAUAAAAUUUCCUCGCUUUUCCAGUUUUUCACAGAAGAGCCUUCUAUGUAAACCUCAUGGAGUGGAAGGCAACAUAGAAAUCAGACAAGGUCCCAUCUAUCAAAGUUCAGAGCAGGUAACAAGUACAAAGAAAAUGGGCAUCGUG